GCUCAAAUUUAAAAUCUGGCGCCUUUCAAGCGUCCGAUUUGUAUUCUACAGAACUGUUUUCCGUGCCGGACCGUGUCCAAGUCCCUUGGAAGGACGUAUCAAAGAGGGUGACAAUCCCGUACUUGACACUACAACCGGUGCUCUGUGAUACCUUUUCUACGAGUCGAGUUGUUUGGGAAUGCAUCUCAAAAUGGGGGGUAAAUUCCAUCUAAAGCUAAAUAUAGGCGAGAGACCGAUAGCGAACAAGUACCGAGAGGGAAAGAUGAAAAGCACUUUGGAAAGAGAGUUAACAGUACGUGAAAUUGUCGAAAGGGAAACGCUUAAAGUUAGACAUGCCUGCUGGGAUUCAGCCUUGCUUUUGCUUGGUGUAUUUCCCAGUGUGCAGCCCAGCAUCAGUUUUGGCUGUCGAUAUAAGGGUUAGUGGAAUGCCUCCCUUCGGGGUGUUAUAGACUCUAACUGGAUAUACUACCCGGCACUGAUGAACUCCGCGUGCCUUUAUGGAGGGUCUUCUAGCGCCUUUACGCUUACGGCCUUGCACAAAUGACCAUCUACCACCCGUCUUGA
rnacentral:rRNA from 1 species